rnacentral:rRNA from 1 species
CGAAAGCCUGACGGAGCAACGCCGCGUGAGGGAUGAAGGCCUCUGGGCUGUAAACCUCUUUUAUCAAGGAAGAAGAUCUGACGGUACUUGAUGAAUAAGCCACGGCUAAUUCCGUGCCAGCAGCCGCGGUAAUACGGGAGUGGCAAGCGUUAUCCGGAAUUAUUGGGCGUAAAGCGUCCGCAGGCGGUUUUGUAAGUCUGUCGUUAAAGCGUGGAGCUUAACUCCAUUUGAGCGAUGGAAACUGCAAGACUAGAGUGUGGUAGGGGCAGAGGGAAUUCCCGGUGUAGCGGUGAAAUGCGUAGAUAUCGGGAAGAACACCAGUGGCGAAGGCGCUCUGCUGGGCCAUAACUGACGCUCAUGGACGAAAGCCAGGGGAGCG